rnacentral:rRNA from 1 species
GACGAACGCUGGCGGCGUGUUUAACACAUGCAAGUCGAGCGGUAAGGCCCUUUCGGGGGUACACGAGCGGCGAACGGGUGAGUAACACGUGGGUGACCUGCCCUCAGCUCUGGGAUAAGCCUGGGAAACCGGGUCUAAUACCGGAUAUGACUCCAUGACGCAUGUUGUGGGGUGGAAAGCCUUGUGCGGCUGAGGAUGGGCCCGCGGCCUAUCAGCUUGUUGGUGGGGUGAUGGCCUACCAAGGCGACGACGGGUAGCCGGCCUGAGAGGGCGACCGGCCACACUGGGACUGAGACACGGCCCAGACUCCUACGGGAGGCAGCAGUGGGGAAUCUUGCGCAAUGGGCGAAAGCCUGACGCAGCGACGCCGCGUGAGGGAUGACGGCCUGGU